rnacentral:rRNA from 1 species
GCAAGUCGAACGGUAAGGCCCUUCGGGGUACACGAGUGGCGAACGGGUGAGUAACACGUGGGUAAUCUGCCCUGCACAUCGGGAUAAGCCUGGGAAACUGGGUCUAAUACCGAAUAGGACCACAGAACACAUGUCCUGUGGUGGAAAGCUUUUGCGGUGUGGGAUGGGCCCGCGGCCUAUCAGCUUGUUGGUGGGGUGAUGGCCCACCAAGGCGACGACGGGUAGCCGGCCUGAGAGGGUGUCCGGCCACACUGGGACUGAGAUACGGCCCAGACUCCUACGGGAGGCAGCAGUGGGGAAUAUUGCACAAUGGGCGAAAGCCUGAUGCAGCGACGCCGCGUGGGGGAUGACGGCCUUCGGGUUGUAAACCUCUUUCACCAUCGACGAAGGUUCGGGUUUUCUCGGAUUGACGGUAGGUGGAGAAGAAGCACCGGCCAACUACGUGCCAGCAGCCGCGGUAAUACGUAGGGUGCGAGCGUUGUCCGGAAUUACUGGGCGUAAAGAGCUCGUAGGUGGUUUGUCGCGUUGUUCGUGAAAUCUCACGGCUUAACUGUGAGCGUGCGGGCGAUACGGGCAGACUUGAGUACUGCAGGGGAGACUGGAAUUCCUGGUGUAGCGGUGGAAUGCGCAGAUAUCAGGAGGAACACCGGUGGCGAAGGCGGGUCUCUGGGCAGUAACUGACGCUGAGGAGCGAAAGCGUGGGGAGCGAACAGGAUUAGAUACCCUGGUAGUCCACGCCGUAAACGGUGGGUACUAGGUGUGGGUUUCCUUCCUUGGGAUCCGUGCCGUAGCUAACGCAUUAAGU